GCUCUUGGGACCCUGAUUCAGUCCUUUUCAGACAAAUGUUAUGUUCACAUCCAUGCUGGUAGUCGAGUUGUCAGGACGAAGAUCACGUCAUCGGAGAGGCAAGGCUUCCAGUUUAUCAGCAUCAAACCAUUUCAAGAAGAAUAAAUUUAACAUGUUCAAGAUAUU